AAAAUCCGGGCCUCAUAAACUCUGAGACGUGAUACCGAGCCGCUUCAGGCGAAGUCAUUGAUCCUAUGCUGCCUAGAAAAGCCCAGCAGCGAGUUGACAUGGUGCCCGUACCCCAAACCAACACAGGUGGACAGGUAGAGCAUACCAAGGCGAGUGGGAUAACUAUGGUUAAGGAACUCGGCAAAUUGCCUCCGUAACUUCGGGAGAAGGAGGACCCCAGUAGCGUGAUGAGACUUGCUCUCUGAGCGUGAAGGGGUGGCACAAAAUUGAGGGAAGCGACUGUUUACCAAAAACACAGCAGCGUGCUAAGCCGUAAGGCGCUGUAUACGCUGAGACUCCUGCCCGGUGCUGGAAGGUUACGGGGAUGGGUUAGUCCUUCGGGACGAAGCUCUGAACCUAAGCCCCAGUAAACGGCGGCCAUAACUAUAACGGUCCUAAGGUAGCGAAAUUCCUUGUCGGGUAAGUUCCGACCUGCACGAAUGGAGUAACGACUUCCCUACUGUCUCAACCAUAGACCCAGCGAAAUUGAAGUACGAGUAAAGAUGCUCGUUAGCUGCAGAAGGACGGAAAGACCCCGUGGACCUUUACUAUAACUUGAUGUUGUGUUUUGUCAUAUGUUGUGUAGGAUAGGUGGGAGACUUGGAAGCAUGGACGCUAGUCUGUGUGGAGUCAUCGUUGAAAUACCACCCUGCAUAUGGUGAGGCUCUAACCUAGACCCGUUAUCCGGGUUGGGGACAGCGUCAGGCGGGUAGUUUAACUGGGGCGGUUGCCUCCUAAAGAGUAACGGAGGCGCCCAAAGGUUCCCUCAGCCUGGUUGGCAAUCAGGCGUUGAGUGCAAUGGCAAAAGGGAGCUUGACUGCGAGACCUACAAGUCGAGCAGGAGCGAAAGCUGGGCAUAGUGAUCCGGCGGUUGCGUGUGGAAGCGCCGUCGCUCAACUGAUAAAAGGUACCCCGGGGAUAACAGGCUAAUCUUGCCCAAGCGUCCAUAGCGACGGCAAGGUUUGGCACCUCGAUGUCGGCUCAUCGCAUCCUGGGGCUGAAGCAGGUCCCAAGGGUUGGGCUGUUCGCCCAUUAAAGCGGUACGCGAGCUGGGUUCAGAACGUCGUGAGACAGUUCGGUCCCUAUCCUCUGCAGCCGGAGGUGAAUUGAGGAAAGCUGUCCCUAGUACGAGAGGACCGGGACGGACGCAGCUCUCGUGUGCCAGUUGUCCUGCCAAGGGCAUGGCUGGUUAGCGACCUGCGGAAAGGAUAACCGCUGAAAGCACCUAAGCGGGAAGCCUCUUCCAAGAUGAAUUCACCCACAGGGUUAACCUGGUAAGGCCCGUGGUAGACCACCACGUUGAUAGGCCGGAAGUGUAAGCGUGGCAACACGUUCAGCUGACCGGUACUAAUCGGCCGAGGGCUUGAGUUG
rnacentral:rRNA from 1 species